rnacentral:rRNA from 1 species
UGGGGAAUAUUGGACAAUGGGCGCAAGCCUGAUCCAGCCAUGCCGCGUGAGUGAUGAAGGCCUUAGGGUUGUAAAGCUCUUCACCGAUGAAGAUAAUGACGGUAGUCGGAGAAGAAGCCCCGGCUAACUUCGUGCCAGCAGCCGCGGUAAUACGAAGGGGCUAGCGUUGUUCGGAAUUACUGGGCGUAAAAGCGCACGUAGGCGGAUAUUUAAGUCAGGGUGAAAUCCCAGAGCUCAACUCUGGAACUGCCUUUGAUACUGGGUAUCUUGAGUAUGGAAGAGGUAAGUGGAAUUGCGAGUGUAGAGGUGAAAUUCGUAGAUAUUCGCAGGAACACCAGUGGCGAAGGCGGCUUACUGGUCCAUUACUGACGCUGAGGUGCGAAAGCGUGGGGAGCAAACAGGAUUAGAUACCC